AUUUUAGAUCUUAUUUUUGAAUUUUUUGAAUUUUUUAGAUUUUUUAAUAUUGUGUUUUAUUUUAUUUUUAAGUUUUAAAUUUUAUUUUUUUAUUUUUUAGAUUUUUUUAAUUUUUUUUUUCAAUUUUUCACAUUUUGUCUUAAUUUUAUUCGAAUUUUUAUGUAUUUUUAUUAUUUUUUAUUAAUAUUUUUUUUUAAACGACACUUCAUCAUUUUAACCUGUAAAAUGAACAGUACCGGUCGCCUAUGAAUAGGAAAACGUUGUUUGAGGUUUGUUAUGAUAAAAUUAUCACUUUGAAGGUUUAACGUUCUAGCAAAAAAAUUUCAGGAUUUAAAGUGUUACAAAGUGUCACUCUCAGUUUUUAAAUGCGAUUUUUCCCUUGUUAUAUAUUCUCUUGAGAGUGGCAGUAACUACAUUUGUUAUAAACGAGAGAGAAAUGCUCUCCACGUGGUGUAUAACAUGUAACAAACUAAUAAAAAUCCAAGUAACCAUGAAUUUGUGUCACCAAACGAAACCAAAUUGACAAGGAAAUCAUACAUGUCAAAUGGUGGACGCAACCAGUUCAGAUGCCCUUGACAGCUAAUAAGAAAUUUGGAAUAAGAUGGACGCCUAUGCAGCACGUAUGAAAAAUGGCACAGAUGGAACUGAGCUAGAAAAUGAUGUCCGUCUUUAUUUUCUGCAUAUGUCAAUUUUCUGAACUUGAAAAGGCUGGGUACUGUUUCCAUUGUUGAUCUUUACACUAUCUAGCUAGAUCCAGUUCGCAUUAAAAGUAAAUCUAUAAAACUGUCUUGAAGCUAAAAUGAUUCUUACUAUUUUUUCCUAACAAUGUCGAUUACAUCAACUCUAUUUUAUAGUAAACCGAGGUUUUGAUUUAACGGCUACGUAGUAGCACCUCAUUACAUUAGUCUGAUCCUAAUGGUGUGAUCUAUUGUGGAUAUGGAUCGCACUUUUCGUACAUUUUCCUUUACCUACUUUCCAAAUAUUUUUUCUUAGAGAUGCUCUGCUUUUGUCGUCUACACUUUGGGAAGAGUUCUACAUUUUUUUAAAAAGGACAGUUGUUGUUCAGAAAAAAAAGAAAGGAAAAAGACAUUUGAACAGCUGUUUGAACAGACUGUGAAUGUUGUGUGGGCUUUCGACUGGCCCAAGUUAUUGUACUCAGCUGAAUUAUUUCGUAAGACGACAUCAUUUCGGUCUUUGGUUACUGAUGAACCUGAAUUUCUGUCGUUUAGCAAAGCCUUUGUAGCUGUUGAAGGAUUUGAUUUGAUACUUCCACUCAAACUUGGUGUAUGAGACAACGCAACUCAAAGAGCUGAAAGCAAAGGGCAGAGCCUUCAAGAAGAUGUCAGCCAUCUGAAGUUCUUGAAACCAGAGUAAAGUAACAAGUUCAUGAUGCGAGACUAUUAACUUGAAGAACAUACUGUUGAAAGUAAGCUUGAAGAAAGCUUGUGGAGUAAGCUAUUCUAAAGAUAUUUGGAAUGUGAAAGAAAUAGGAAAUAUGUUUGUUUAGGAGUUAUCUAAAUAAGUUAAGCUAAUGAGAUUAGGAAGUUGAUAUUCCUAUAUAAGGAGAUGGCAAGGUGUGGCAUAACUUAUGGUUUAGAGAUUGAGAGACCAUCUUGUGAGAGCUUAAGUUUUUGAGAGAGUUUUCUUAAGCUAAUAAGAAUUGAGUUAUUCUUAA